rnacentral:rRNA from 1 species
GGGUAGUAAAAUUUUUUAAACCUAAAGAAUUUGGCGGUACUUUAUUCUUACUAGAGGAACCUGCUCUUGGAUCGAUAAUCCACGUUUAAAUGUACAUGCUUUAGUUUUCAGUUUGUAUACCGCCGUUGUCAGAUUAUUUUUAAAAAAUAUAAUCUAAUUAAUAGUUAAUUAGGACUUCAGGUCAAGGUGCAGCUUAUAAGUAUGGGAGUAGUGGGUUACAAUAAAUUAAAAUUAUAUGGAUUAAUUAGUGUAAACUAGUUAUGAAGGUGGAUUUAGUAGUAAAAUAAGAAUAAAAUUCUUUUUUGAAAUGAGCUCUGAA